rnacentral:tRNA from 1 species
GGUUGAUUUGCGAUCAUUGUUCAACCAACAUUCUCGUUGUGCUCAUCAACGAUCAACUG